GAUGAACGCUGGCGGCGUGCCUAAUACAUGCAAGUCGAGCGAACAGAUAAGGAGCUUGCUCCUUUGACGUUAGCGGCGGACGGGUGAGUAACACGUGGAUAACCUACCUAUAAGACUGGGAUAACUUCGGGAAACCGGAGCUAAUACGGGAUAACAUAUUGAACCGCAUGGUUCAAUAGUGAAAGGCGGCUUUGCUGUCACUUAUAGAUGGAUCCGCGCCGUAUUAGCUAGUUGGUAAGGUAACGGCUUACCAAGGCAACGAUACGUAGCCGACCUGAGAGGGUGAUCGGCCACACUGGAACUGAGACACGGUCCAGACUCCUACGGGAGGCAGCAGUAGGGAAUCUUCCGCAAUGGGCGAAAGCCUGACGGAGCAACGCCGCGUGAGUGAUGAAGGUCUUCGGAUCGUAAAACUCUGUUAUCAGGGAAGAACAAAUGUGUAAGUAACUGUGCACAUCUUGACGGUACCUGAUCAGAAAGCCACGGCUAACUACGUG
rnacentral:rRNA from 1 species